rnacentral:tRNA from 1 species
GGGUCGGUAGUGUAAUGGUAACACAUGGCGUCCGGAUUUGAAGAAGAGUGGUUCUAUUCCCUCCCGGUUCA